rnacentral:rRNA from 1 species
ACUCCUACGGGAGGCAGCAGUGGGGAAUAUUGGACAAUGGGGGGAACCCUGAUCCAGCCAUGCCGCGUGUGUGAAGGAGGCCUUAUGGUUGUAAAGCACUUUAAGCGAGGAGGAGGCUCUUUUGGUUAAUACCCAAGAUGAGUGGACGUUACUCGCAGAAUAAGCACCGGCUAACUCUGUGCCAGCAGCCGCGGUAAUACAGAGGGUGCGAGCGUUAAUCGGAUUUACUGGGCGUAAAGCGUGCGUAGGCGGCUUUUUAAGUCGGAUGUGAAAUCCCCGAGCUUAACUUGGGAAUUGCAUUCGAUACUGGGAAGCUAGAGUAUGGGAGAGGAUGGUAGAAUUCCAGGUGUAGCGGUGAAAUGCGUAGAGAUCUGGAGGAAUACCGAUGGCGAAGGCAGCCAUCUGGCCUAAUACUGACGCUGAGGUACGAAAGCAUGGGGAGCAAACAGGAUUAGAUACCCUGGUAGUC